GCGGGGCCAGCGGGGGCUCCGGCUGGGGCUUCGGGGACCCCUGCGGAAACUGGUGCUGCAGAGUCUGGUGCCCCUGUUGCUGCGCCUACAUGACUCGAGUCAGGACGCUGCUGAGAGCUCUGAGUGGACACUAGCCCGCUGCGAUCAGGCCCUUCGAUGGGGCCUGCUGGAGGAGAUGGUAACUGUGGCUCACUACGACAGCCCUGAGGCUCUCAGCC
rnacentral:lncRNA from 1 species